UACAGAGGGUGCAAGCGUUUGUUCGGAAUUAUUGGGCGUAAAGCGCGUGUAGGCGGCUUUGCAAGUCGGAUGUGAAAGCCCCGGGCUCAACCCGGGAAGUGCACUCGAUACUGCCGAGCUAGAGUAUCGGAGAGGUUGGUGGAAUUCUCGGUGUAGAGGUGAAAUUCGUAGAUAUCGAGAGGAACACCGGUGGCGAAGGCGGCCAACUGGACGAAUACUGACGCUGAGACUCGAAAGCGUGGGGAGCAAACAGG
rnacentral:rRNA from 1 species